AUUGAACGCUGGCGGCAUGCCUUACACAUGCAAGUCGAACGGCAGCGCGGACUUCGGUCUGGCGGCGAGUGGCGAACGGGUGAGUAAUGUAUCGGAACGUGCCCUAGAGUGGGGGAUAACGUAGCGAAAGUUACGCUAAUACCGCAUACGAUCUACGGAUGAAAGUGGGGGACCGCAAGGCCUCACGCUCAUGGAGCGGCCGAUAUCUGAUUAGCUAGUUGGUAGGGUAAAAGCCUACCAAGGCGACGAUCAGUAGCUGGUCUGAGAGGACGACCAGCCACACUGGGACUGAGACACGGCCCAGACUCCUACGGGAGGCAGCAGUGGGGAAUUUUGGACAAUGGGGGAAACCCUGAUCCAGCAAUGCCGCGUGUGUGAAGAAGGCCUUCGGGUUGUAAAGCACUUUUGUCAGGAACGAAACGGUGGGGGCUAAUAUCCUCUGCUAAUGACGGUACCUGAAGAAUAAGCACCGGCUAACUACGUGCCAGCAGCCGCGGUAAUACGUAGGGUGCGAGCGUUAAUCGGAAUUACUGGGCGUAAAGCGUGCGCAGGCGGUUGUGCAAGACAGAUGUGAAAUCCCCGGGCUUAACCUGGGAAUUGCAUUUGUGACUGCACGGCUAGAGUGUGUCAGAGGGGGGUAGAAUUCCACGUGUAGCAGUGAAAUGCGUAGAUAUGUGGAGGAAUACCGAUGGCGAAGGCAGCCCC
rnacentral:rRNA from 1 species